rnacentral:rRNA from 1 species
AGCGAACAUUGGCGGUAGGCUUAACACAUGCAAGUCGAGCGAGGCGUAAUAGUCGAGCGGCGAACGGGUGAGUAAUACUUGGGAAUCUGCCCUGAAGUGGGGGAUAACGUCCAGAAAUGGACGCUAAUACCGCAUAAUCCAUAUCGGGAAAGCGCGCUGCGCUUUAGGAUGAGCCCAAGUCUGAUUAGCUAGUUGGCGGGGUAAAGGCCCACCAAGGCGACGAUCAGUAGCUGGUCUGAGAGGAUGAUCAGCCACACUGGAACUGAGACACGGUCCAGACUCCUACGGGAGGCAGCAGUGGGGAAUCUUGCGCAAUGGGGGGCAACCCUGACGCAGCCAUACCGCGUGUGUGAUGAAGGUCUUCGGAUUGUAAAGCACUUUCAGCGGGGACGACAAUGACGGUACCCGCAGAAGAAGUCACGGCUAACUUCGUGCCAGCAGCCGCGGUAAU